UACGGGGGGAGCAAGCGUUGUUCGGAUUUACUGGGCGUAAAGGGCGCGUAGGCGGUCAGCACAAGUCAGUUGUGAAAUCUCCGGGCUUAACUCGGAAAGGUCAACUGAUACUGUGCGACUAGAGUGCAGAAGGGGCAACUGGAAUUCUCGGUGUAGCGGUGGAAUGCGCAGAUAUCAGGAGGAACACCGAUGGCGAAGGCAGCUCGCUGGGACGGUACUGACGCUGAGGCGCGAAAGCGUGGGGAGCGAACAGG
rnacentral:rRNA from 1 species